UAUAUAUAUAUAUAUAUAUAUAUAAAACAACACUUAUAUAUGUACGGAUUUUGAAGUAUUUUUGCCUUCACAUGUCAUCCAUCACCAGAUAGAACAUUCAAGGUUCCAUGAAUAAUCCAUUAUAUAAUGCCCUCCAGGUGAUAGACGAUAUAAAAUUAUUUGACUUGGUGGAGUUCCUCCCACGAGGUUUAUUUUGCAAAAUAUUGAGCUAAAGUGACUCCUUAAUUAUGUUUCACGUGCAUGCAACUAUGCAAGUGUAAACAAGGAAGUAAGGAACAAAUCAAUGGCCUCCUGGCUUAAUGGCAUCCCGCCCCCCAUUUGUGAGACUUGAACAAAAAGGGGAGAGAGAGAGAGAGAGAGAAGAAAAAUUAGCAAACAGUGAGGUGAUGAAGAGCUGUCAACGUUGGAUGUCUAGUCUACCUUGACUUUGAAAAGUCUGCUUUUAAUUGAUACGUUGAGGCCAAGAAAUUCUUCUAAGAGAACAAAUGGAGAAUCUAAAUGGAAUUUGUCAAUUUUGCGCGUGUUUGAAAGUCCACUCUAGGCCUAAACUGUUCAGCCUUAUUCACCUUUGUGUCCUCGCCGUAAACAUUCUUUGGAGCCCUUGUUUAUGCUCUCUGAUCAAUCACCAUGUGACUCUGUCCUUUGCAGAAUGGUUUUGUAAUGGAACCUUGUUUCCUUUAAGCCUCAGCUCUCAGGCAUUUUGGCUGAGUCCUAUAUAUGGAUUUUUUGAAUCCUUGCUAUGGCCAGCAAAUGGUGAAGAUUCUAUCUGGAUGUGACCAUAAUAAUUUAUACUGCAAUAACAAACAAAUGCCAAAGAGUCUUCGGACGUAUAUGGUGAAUGUUGUUAGAUUGACUAAAAGCAUUCCGACUCUUGGCUAUCAUUAUAUUAUCGAGCCUUAUCAGGAACUUCAGGCUCUCUUUGAGAUAUGAUUUUAGUGGAUAUUGCAACCAAAGACUUAUUCUCAAAGGAACAGCUUGUUCUUAUUGCAAGGAAUGGUGCCAGGCAUCCAGAAUGCUGGUGCAGGAUGAGUGGCUUAAAUGUGGAGCAUGGUGAUGAUAUUUCAAACAAAUUGGCUGCAACAUCCAAUUUCCUCCCAAUUCCUGCUGAUCAGUUACGGCUUGCCUACUAAUCUUGUAAUGAGGAACAUUGUUAAAAGUGGGAGAAGAUACACCAAACCUGUUUGAUGCAAGGGCCUGUGAGGGAAUUGGAGCAUAUGAUUGUGGAAAGCUCUGAUGGUUUGGCCUAUCAUUCAGCUGUAUUUCGAGAAUACUUAAUACAUUUUCUUAAUUUUAUGUGAAACAUUUUUAAAGGCGAAAUAUUUUUGUCAAGA